rnacentral:rRNA from 1 species
CCUACGGGUGGCAGCAGUGGGGGAUAUUGCACAAUGGGGGAAAGCCUGAUGCAGCGACGCCGCGUGAGUGAAGACGUAUUUCGGUAUGUAAAGCUCUAUUAGCAGGGAAGAAAAUGACAGUACGUGACCAAGAAGCCCCGGAUAACUUCGUGCCAGCAGCCGUGGUAAUACGUAGGGGGCAAGCGUUAUCCGGAUUUACUGGGUGUAAGGGGAGUGUAGACGGUAGAACAGGGCAGGAGUUAAAGGCCGGGGCUUAACCCCGGAAGUGCUUUUGAAACUGGGCAGCUAGAGUGCAGGCGAGGUAAGUGGAAUUCGUAGUGUAGCGGUGAAAUGCGUAGAUAUUAGGAGGAACACCGAUGGCGAAGGCAGCUUACUAGACUGUAACUGACGUUGAGGCUCGAAAGCGUGGGGAGCAAACAGGAUUAGAUACCCGGGUAGUC